AGAAAAGUACCCUCUGUUUUAAGUGUGUUAUUAGAAAUGUUUGACUCCUUGGUAUGUGGAAGAUGGACAUAAAUGCCACUCAGCAGUCCUGAUACAUCUGGGUGGAGUUGUCUAUGACUGCCAGACAGAGGACCAGGAAAUCACAAGGUGAUGCGCAUAAGAACGGAAAAUGGAGGAAAGCAGCGGGGGAAAUCCAUCCAAAGUGCAAAGGUCAUGGAAUACUUUAUCUGUCUAUGAUGGCCAAUGCUCUUUAAGAAAAUUCACUAUCCC